rnacentral:rRNA from 1 species
UACGGAGGGUGCGAGCGUUUGUCCGGAAUCACUGGGCGUAAAGGCGCGUAGGCGGGCUGGGGAAGUCCGUGGAUGAAAGCUCGUGGCUCAACUGCGAGUCGGCCACGGAGACUCCUCGAGCUCGAGCACUGUAGAGGCAGGUGGAAUCCGGGUGUAGCGGUGGAAUGCGUAGAGAUCCGGAAGAACACCGGUGGCGAAGGCGGCCUGGCUGGGCAGUGAGCUGACGCUGA